UACGGAGGGUGCGAGCGUUGUCCGGAAUCACUGGGCGUAAAGGGCGCGUAGGCGGCCUGAUAAGUAGGGGGUGAAAUCCUGCGGCUUAACCGCAGGGCUGCCUUCUAAACUGUCAGGCUUGAGCACAGUAGAGGCAGGUGGAAUUCCCGGUGUAGCGGUGGAAUGCGUAGAUAUCGGAAGGAACAUCAGUGGCGAAAGCGGCUUCCUGGACCAGUACCGACGUUCAGGCACGAAAGCGUGGGGAGCAAACAGG
rnacentral:rRNA from 1 species